AAAAAAAACCCUAUAAUAAAGCAUCUAGAUGCUCUAAAAAUCUAAACAACAAAAUCCUAAGCCUCCAUCUCCCUCAUUCAGCCGAGUCCCCAAACAUUCCAUUCCCAAACGCCCUUUCGUCAUUGACUUCAUUUGAAUCCCCAUCCGAGCUUCGAUUUCAACGAAGCGAACAAGGAUUCGAAGCCACUCAAAGGUAUGGUGCUGGCUACGUGGAGGUGUACGGCGUACGGCGUACGGAGGCGCUGGAGGCCAGUUGCGGCGCAAGUAGAAAUUAGGGUUCUGAUAUUUUUUUAUUUUGGGCCAAUUUGGGUUAGGGUUUGUUUGGGCCUUUGAAAAGUUUGGGUAGUGGGUUUUAAGUUUAUGUAAUUUGGACUUUGAUAAUGGAUUAUUAAUGGACUGUUUAUUUAUUUGGUUUUA